GGCGGGUGUGGCCAAGUGGUUAAGGCAGCGGGUUGUGGUUCCGCCAUUCGCCGGUUCAAGUCCGGUCACUCGCCC
rnacentral:tRNA from 1 species